AGCAGUGUGGCUCAGUGGAAAGAGCACGGGCUUGGGAGUCAGAGAUCAUGGGUUCUAAUCCUGCCUCUGCUG
rnacentral:tRNA from 1 species